rnacentral:lncRNA from 1 species
AUAGCGGUGAUACAAUAUGACUGCAUGCUUCAUGCUCUAAACUCUUUAAAUUUACUAUUACAACCGUCGUUAAAACGAUCCAUUCGUCUACCUUUUCUUUUUUUUUUUUUUAAGUAUAUAUUUAUAAAAAAAUUUUUGUUUUAAAGAACAAACCACAAGCAAAAAAAAUUCAUCAAUGUUGUUAACAGAAAAAGAUAAUGCUACCAUCAUAAUAAACAUAUAAAAAAGAAGAAAUAUAAGUAUAAAACAAGUGCAUAAAAUGUUAGCUAUUUACACAAUGUUAAAAUUCAAAUCCCGAGAAAUAAUUAUUGGGGCAGUCAAAGCCCUCUAUAAUGUUUUGCAGUAACCCUGAACAAAACAACGUGCGGUAGCGAAUAUAAAAAAGAAGCAAGUAACUUUAGAGCGAUUUUCGAGAUGGAUCUACGGCAUCAGCAGCACGACCAACUGGUGCAGGAUGCAAAACGAAUCCAGUAAAAGGUAUGGGAGUCAGCGGAGGUUGAUUAGGAUAACCGAAAAUUUUUGCAUUAUUCGGAUAGGGUGUGGGUGUAAUAGGCAUAUAUGAGUUAGCAUUGUUAUGGACAGCUGCUGCCGCCGCUGCGGCAGAAGGCCAGAAUGAUUCGGUUGCAUGAAUAGGUGCUGUAAGAGGUGUAGUCGGAUCUACUUUAAGUGAAGAAUUUGGUGUAAGGACUUGUAAGGAGACAGGGAUCGUUGGAGUAGCACAAUGAUUCCAAUUACUUACAAACUGGGGAGUCGGAGGCCAGGGAAAGCCAAUGUUUUGAGUCGGCAUAUAGCCUUGAUGAGGGUAACCUUGAAUUCCUUGUUGCAAAUUCAUUUGUUGCUGUUGUUGUUGUUGUUGGUAUGCGAGAUAACGAGAUGAAACAAGGGGAGCAGGUCGUAAACGUCGUGUAAGGUUCUUACAGUUUGAUACUAGCGUGGAAAGUUCGGGUAAUGUGAUUCGGGUUUUGGGAUUCCUAUCAAAAAUUCGAUUGAGUAGAGAAUUGAGCUCUCUACUGAUGGGUAAAAUGGAUAAAAGGGUUGAUGGAUUGUGAACGUAGGAACGGUAAGUACCAUCAGUUUGAGAACAUGCACGCUUCCAAGGGUUCCUCUUACAACACAGAUUAAUUAAUAUAAUUCCCAGAGCCCAGACGUCAUUUGGCGCUGUAGCAAAGCUGGAUGAUUGUGAUUCUAUAGGUUCAGGAGUUACCGGUAGCAUAUCUGACAGCGAACUAAGUUUUUUCACCUCCCGUUGACAUUCUGGAGACAUGUAAAACAGACUACCACAUCCAAAGUCACUUGAAUAGGGUUCUGUAGUAGCCAGACCAAAAUCAGCUAAGUAUACGGUGUUUACAUCAUUUCCAACCAUAAUGUUUUCGGGUUUAAGAUCUCGAUGAUAUAUGCCAACUGAGUGACAAUGUUCAACAGCAGAAAUAAGCUGUAAAAAAACGGUUUUAAUUAAAUGACUAUUCCCUUGAUAUACCUUUUUCUCCGUGAUGUAAGUAAAAAGGUCGCCAUUCGGACAAUACUGGAGAACGACAUAAAUGGCGUCUUCCGUUUCUAACACGCGGUGCAAUGUAAUAAUAUAAGGAUGUGAAGAAACACGAGCAUGUAAGGCAAGUUCGCGAGCUUGUAACUUCUUCUGCUUUUCAUUUAAGCCAUCCUUACAUAAAGCCUUUACUGCAUACAAGGUACCGUCGUAAAUGUCUUCUGCUUUGUACACGACACCAUAAGCACCGGCACCGAUGAUAGAAACAAAUCGUAAAGAAUCACCCAAGACCUGACCCAAAAGGAGUUCUGGAUUUUCGCGCAUCAUCUAAUGUUUAGUAAAGAUAAAUUAAAUAAAGUCCCAAUUGAUGGCGAAAAUUAGAUAAGAAAAUAGAAAAUAAGUAUUUCGGAUGAUAAAGUUUUGAAUAGCUUAAAGAACUUUGCAACCGAAACAAAAAAAAAACUUUGAGAAAGGUUAGAUUUUCUAAUGUCUUCUAAAAUCAAUGAUAAAAAAAACAAAGAUCGUUAUAAACAGGAAAAUAGUCAAUAACACAAUGAUAGGUUUUAUCUUGAUCGUUUGAGGUUUAAUAAUAUAAGGGAAUUUACAAGAAAAAAAUUUUUUUUUCAAUUGUAAGCAGGUAAAAAAUACGACAACGAAGAAUGAAAAAGAGAAUCGAAUACGCCAAUCACAGAGAAAACGACCAACAUGCAAGAAACAAAAUUAAUAAAGAAAAGGGGAAAUGCAAUUGUGGAAGGAAGAGUUAAAACGAAUAAUAUAUAAUGUUUAUGAUUAAAAAGCACAGGUCCUUUUGAGUACAACGAAUGGAAGUGAGAAGGGAAUGUGAAUAAAAAACCGGGAAA